CUGAGCUUUGCUCUUUACGGGUUGAAAAGAAAACUUCUUGAAAGUAGGCAAAACCUUUUUUUUCUCUUAACAAAGUCUGGAAUUAUCUUGCUGUGAACUGAAGAAAUUUAGUUUGGCAUUCCAAGCUGAGUAAUGACUUUGUUCUACUGAAGUAUGCAGCCUUUCCCUGAAGUAGUCAAAUCCAUUGAUUCAAUGAGUGAGGGGUCAUAGGACAACACCACUUACGGGGAAUGAAAAUUACUUUGGUUUAAUAUUUCAAGGGCAUCAUCAUGCCUUUAUCUUUCAUUCAGAACCAGGAUGAAACGGCCUGAGUUGUUACAGAGCAGAACUGAAGUACGGAGGCAGACGCAGAUUGGGAGCUGCUCUGAGCAGAGCUCUGGGAGGGGCUGCCCCCGAGUAACCUAUUCCCGCAGGUCGCUGGGGCCUGGGCCUGUGGAAUCCCAGCAAGACGGACCCUCUUCCCUCAGGGACCACCAGAUUUCAAAUGUAUAG
rnacentral:lncRNA from 1 species